UGGAACCAUAAUUGCAUUAGCCUCAGGAGAUGUCCUCCUUUUGGAUUGCUUCCAGUGUGCUGAAAAUCCAGCCUUCUUUUCGAAGACUUUACUACAUAUAAAACAAACUAAACAUCCUCUCUUCUGCUAAUGUACAGCUUCUGGCUUCCUCAAGAAUAAAGCACCCCAGAAAGUAGGGAGAACAUAGCUGGAAGAAAGAUCAAUAUCUUCUACAAAAGGUUUGCAAACACAGAUGCAGCAGGAUCAUCACUUUGUGUGAGCAGAGAAAGAAGCAUUGUUCCUGAUUACAGCUCUGAUGAUUCAAAGGAUGCGGUCUCAUAAUUAGAGUCUGCCAAAGCCAGGAGAAGCCUGAGGAGGAAACUGGCUGAUUUGUCAGGAGAAAGACAGACUUUGCUCAGAUGUGACUUGGCUUUGGAUCCUGUGGACACAUACUUUAACAGCCAUGUGGAGAGCUCAUCUGCAGCACUGGAUCGUGUAUUUUGUUCAGUUACUUGUACAGCUCCACCAUGCCAGUCUGUGUCUAUAGAGUCCUUCACCCAACAGAGCCACGCUCCGUGCUCCUCUCUCAAAUGGAAUUAAAAAUAUGCAAAGAUAAGUAGUAGUAUAGAGCACUACAGGCAGAUGAUGAUGGUCUUCUGUGUAGUCCAACAGCCUAAAGAUCCUCCUGCCCAUUACAUAUUAAUCUGUUGCUCUUUGAAAGAGCAUACUGCUCCGGGAAAGCCCUUUGGAGAGCCUCAUUUGUUGGUCCAGCAUUGCACCACUAAACUUUGUCCUGUAUUUAACAUUGCAGUUUCUGAAGAAAAGGUGUUUGUUUUCUCCUCUGAGCCUUGCUUAGUGAUUUGGGUUUUUUUGUGUUUGGGGGGGUUGUGUUGGUUUUUUUUUCUUUCUUUUUGUGUGUCUAUGACAGGGAUGAGGGAGAAGUGGCUGCUUCCAUUUACUUAUCUUUUUAUUUUAGUGUAACUCAUCACUUUUUCGAUGAUGCCUGGACUAAUCUUUAUGAUGCCUGUAAGGCAUGCCAUAGUUUGGAAGAGCAUUUCAGCAAUAUAAUUCAAACAUAACGUACCAAAAGAGUGGCCAGGCAGCUGCAUUUAAUAUUGCCAAAAAGAUCAUCACAAAUGUGCCUAUUGAUAUUUUAACCCACGGAGUGGUACAGCUGACAGUUGUGGAGUGCAUCCACCAUCCGGAAUCCUCUUUCUUUAUUUUUCUCGAGAAUCAAAGCUCUUUUGGAUUGCUAAGAGGCAGUCUUGUUUCCUGUGCUGUUCAAUCUUCAAGCAAACGAUAUUUUUCAUCAACAAUGACACAUCAGCACCAAGUUACCUUCAAGAAGGUCAGUGGGGAAAAAAAAAAUAUUUUAAAUUAUGAUAGUUGGCUCUGAAAUACACUUGCAUAUUCUUUUUAUUGGCAUAGUCACCUGCCCCUGAACAGUCUCGCUGUGCCCAGCAGUUCAGAAGACCGACAUGCAAAAUAAACUCAAUUAUUAUAUUAGCAGCUGUUCAUGUUAAGUCACAACAGAGUUUCCUACUAAACCUUUAAUAUUUUACAGGCAUUUUUGGCCAUGUGGUUAGAGUACAAGAUCGCAGUUUAGGAGCAGAACUCUGGUUUGUUUCUUAGUUCUGCCAGAGGCUUCUUGUGAUGUCGUGGGGAAAAUUUUUCACUCCUUCAGUCCCCAAGUUCCACGUCGUAAAGUGAUCAUAACAAGGCUUUCUCUUUUUCCAUUCCUUGCAGUUCUUGUCCAUUUAUACUACAAGCUCUUACAGGAAGACAUCAUUUCUCCAAUUAGGUGUUUGUGUUUUUCCAGUC